rnacentral:rRNA from 1 species
GAGUUUGAUCCUGGCUCAGGACGAACGCUGGCGGCGUGCUUAACACAUGCAAGUCGAGCGGUGAACCACCUUCGGGUGGGAUCAGCGGCGAACGGGUGAGUAACACGUGGGCAACCUGCCCUUAGCUCUGGGAUAACUCCGGGAACCGGGGCUAAUACCGGAUACGACCUCGGAGGGCAUUCUCUGAGGUGGAAAGUUCCGGCGGCUAAGGAUGGGCCCGCGGCCU